GGGCGCAGCCUGAUGGAGCACACCGCGUGAGUGAAGAAGGGUUUCGGCUCGUAAAGCUCUGUUGUUGGAGAAGAACGUGCGUGAGAGUAACUGUUCACGCAGUGACGGUAUCCAACCAGAAAGUCACGGCUAACUACGUGCCAGCAGCCGCGGUAAUACGUAGGUGGCAAGCGUUAUCCGGAUUUAUUGGGCGUAAAGCGAGCGCAGGCGGUUGCUUAGGUCUGAUGUGAAAGCCUUCGGCUUAACCGAAGAAGGGCAUCGGAAACCGGGCGACUUGAGUGCAGAAGAGGACAGUGGAACUCCAUGUGUAGCGGUGGAAUGCGUAGAUAUAUGGAAGAACACCAGUGGCGAAGGCGGCUGUCUGGUCUGCAACUGACGCUGAGGCUCGAAAGCAUGGGUAGCGAACAGGAUUAGAUACCCUGGUAGUCCAUGCCGUAAACGAUGAGUGCUAGGUGUUGGAGGGUUUCCGCCCUUCAGUGCCGGAGCUAACGCAUUAAGCACUCCGCCUGGGGAGUACGACCGCAAGGUUGAAACUCAAGAAAUU
rnacentral:rRNA from 2 species